GAUGAAGAACGUAGCGAAAUGCGAUAAGUAAUGUGAAUUGCAGAAUUCAGUGAAUCAUCGAAUCUUUGAACGCACAUUGCGCCCGCCAGUAUUCUGGCGGGCAUGCCUGUUCGAGCGUCAUUUCAACCCUCAAGACCCCUUCGGGGGACUUGGUGUUGGGGACCGGCACAGGGGCCUGCCUGCUUGUCUUGCAGCGCCCUCGCCGCCCCCGAAAUGAAUUGGCGGCCUCGUCGCGGCCUCCCCUGCGUAGUAGCACAAACCUCGCAACGGGAACGUGACGGCGGCCACUGCCGUAAAACAACCCAAUUUUAUUAGAGUUGACCUCGAAUCAGGUAGGAAUACCCGCUGAACUUAAGCAUAUCAAUAAGGGAGGA
rnacentral:misc_RNA from 1 species